GGGUUUGUUGUGUCAAACACGUGGAAACAUGAUGUCCAACGACAACCCUUUUCAUUGACUGUCCUUAGCCAAGAGGACGUGGACUUUCUGUCGGGCAUUUCCAAGGACGAUCCGUGUCCAGAAGGACCUGGAGCGAGCUGCCAGAUGCCGGAAGGAGGGCAACUCCAGCUUUAAAACCAGGGACUACACGGCUGCUGUCCUGCACUACUCACCAGGGACGACCCUGCUGCUGUCCUGCACGACUCACAGGUAACAUCUUUACAACCAGGGACGACCCUGCUACUGUCCUGCAUCCUCACAGGUAACAUCUUUACAACCAGGGACGGACCCUGCUGCUGUCCUGCAC
rnacentral:lncRNA from 1 species